UACGUAGGGCGCAAGCGUUGUCCGGAAUUAUUGGCGUAAAGAGCUCGUAGGCGGCUUGUCACGUCGGAUGUGAAAGCCCGGGGCUUAACCCCGGGUCUGCAUUCGAUACGGGCAGGCUAGAGUGUGGUAGGGGAGAUCGGAAUUCCUGGUGUAGCGGUGAAAUGCGCAGAUAUCAGGAGGAACACCGGUGGCGAAGGCGGUGGUCUGGGCCGGCACUGACGCUGAGGAGCGAAAGCGUGGGUAGCAAACAGG
rnacentral:rRNA from 1 species